UAACGCGAAGAACCUUACCUGGGUUUGACAUAUACGAGAAGCCUCUGGAGACAGAGGUCUCUUUGGACACUUGUAUACAGGUGGUGCAUGGCUGUCGUCAGCUCGUGUCGUGAGAUGUUGGGUUAAGUCCCGCAACGAGCGCAACCCUUGUUCACUGUUGCCAGCACGUUAUGGUGGGGACUCAGUGGAGACCGCCGGGGUCAACUCGGAGGAAGGUGGGGAUGACGUCAAGUCAUCAUGCCCCUUAUGUCCAGGGCUUCACGCAUGCUACAAUGGCUGGUACAGAGAGUGGCGAGCCUGUGAGGGUGAGCGAAUCUCGGAAAGCCGGUCUCAGUUCGGAUUGGGGUCUGCAACUCGACCUCAUGAAGUCGGAGUCGCUAGUAAUCGCAGAUCAGCGACGCUGCGGUGAAUACGUUCCCGGGCCUUGUACACACCGA
rnacentral:rRNA from 1 species